rnacentral:rRNA from 1 species
UACAGAGGGGGCAAGCGUUGUUCGGAAUUACUGGGCGUAAAGAGCUCGUAGGCGGCUUGUCACGUCGGGUGUGAAAGCCCGGGGCUUAACCCCGGGUCUGCAUUCGAUACGGGCUGGCUAGAGUGUGGUAGGGGAGAUCGGAAUUCCUGGUGUAGCGGUGAAAUGCGCAGAUAUCAGGAGGAACACCGGUGGCGAAGGCGGAUCUCUGGGCCAUUACUGACGCUGAGGAGCGAAAGCGUGGGGAGCGAACAGG